rnacentral:rRNA from 1 species
UCCGUAGGUGAACCUGCGGAAGGAUCAUUACUGAAGUGAUUUGGGGAUGUUGCUGGCCUCUCUUGGGGGGCAAUGUGCACUCUCCAAAAACAAUUCACAAUUUCCAUCACACCCCUUGUGCACAUCCUGUAGGGCGAUGCCACCCCUCUCAAAGUGGGGCUGUUGUCCUAUGUAUUCUCUCAUCUAACACAUAUUGAAUGGUGCUCUUGGAUGCAUCUUGUGGAUUAUCUGUAACAAAGUAAUCAUAUAAAGCAACUUUCAACAAUGGAUCUCUUGGCUCUCGCAUCGAUGAAGAACGCAGCGAAAUGCGAUACGUAAUGUGAAUUGCAGAAUUCCGUGAAUCAUCGAAUCUUUGAACGCACCUUGCGCCUCUUGGUAUUCCGAGGGGCAUGCCUGUUUGAGUGUCAUGUAAAACCAUCAAUGAGGACCUUUCUUUUCAAAGAGAGAGGCUUUCUUCUUGGAAUAUGGAGCGUGCUGGCUUGAUCAGCUCCUCUGAAAUGCAUUAGCGAUGUGGUGUUCCACCUGCUUGAGCUUCAAUUGGCAUUGAUAGUCAUUCAUGUCAGAGUUGUUCAGCUGUGGAAAGGUUCACUUGCUCCUUAAUUGUGAUGGACUCUCUCCAUCCUUUGACCCAUAUAACCUCAAAUCAGGCAGGACUACCCGCUGAACUUAAGCAUAUCAAUAAGCGGAGGA